rnacentral:tRNA from 1 species
GGAUUGUGACUCAGUGGUAGAGCACUUGCCUAGCAUGUGUGAGGUACUGGGUUCGAUUCUCAGCACCA